rnacentral:rRNA from 1 species
UUGUGCCAAGCAGCCGCGGUAAAACCAGCACCUCAAGUGGUCAGGAUGAUUAUUGGGCCUAAGGCAUCCGUAGCCGGCUCUGUAAGUUUUCGGUUAAAUCUGUACGCUCAACGUACAGGCUGCCGGGAAUACUGCAUAGCUAGGGAGUGGGAGAAGUAGACGGUACUCGGUAGGAAGUGGUAAAAUGCUUUGAUCUAUCGAUGACCACCUGUGGCGAAGGCGGUCUACUAGAACACGUCCGACGGUGAGGGAUGAAAGCUGGGGGAGCAAACCGGAUUAGAUACCCGGGUAGUCCCAGCUGUAAACUAUGCAAACUCAGUGAUGCAUUGGCUUGUGGCCAAUGCAGUGCUGCAGGGAAGCCGUUAAGUUUGCCGCCUGGGAAGUACGUACGCAAGUAUGAAACUUAAAGGAAUUGGCGGGGGAGCACCACAAGGGGUGAAGCCUGCGGUUCAAUUGGAGUCAACGCCAGAAAUCUUACCCGGAGAGACAGCAGAAUGAAGGUCAAGCUGAAGACUUUACCAGACAAGCUGAGAGGUGGUGCAUGGCCGUCGCCAGCUCGUGCCGUGAGAUGUCCUGUUAAGUCAGGUAACGAGCGAGAUCCCUGCCUCUAGUUGCCACCAUUACUCUCAGGAGUAGUGGGGCGAAUUAGCGGGACCGCCGCAGUUAAUGCGGAGGAAGGAAGGGGCCACGGCAGGUCUGUGAUGCCCAA